UUAUGUUUUCAUUUAUGAACAAAUUGGAUAGAAUACAUUAAUAUGUACUUAAAUAGAAAUUAUUUAAGAAACAUAGAAUGUUACUGAAGGUUCUAUAAUGUGUUGUUGUUUAUUCAAUUUAAGCAAAUUACUAUGUUUUAUGAUUCCACUACUUAUUGCUGUCGUUAUUGGAGUAAUAUUAUAUAACUUAUUGAAACAAAAUGUCGAUGGAAUACCAUGAAAACUUCAUUAUAUUUCAAGAUACAAUGGCAGCAUAAUGCAAUGGUGCAGCAAUGGCGGCGGCGCGGUCUGCGUGCAGACCACAUACGGUCCACAGUUGUAGCGGG